UUUAUAGGAGAUGCUGUGAAGUGUCGAGAACAUGUAACAGUAUCGCCAGCUUUGAAGAAUAUGGACCUGCUUAUGUCAAGAUGUACAAUUUUGUACUGGGGGAGGAGGGGGUGGAGGCAAGUGCUGCACUGCUACUGCUGGAGUUGAAGGUACAGCGGGAUGUAUUGGAGGCAUGACUGCAGUAGUAUGACCAGGAGCAAUAUGAGGACCAACAGUUGCCAUUACUGAAUGAGAUCCUGGGCCCAUAAACUUUGAUUGACUGGGGCCAUAUGUUGCUAUAUUAUUAGUUGCUGGUAGGGGAGGAGGUGGCGGUGGAGGUGGAGGGGCUACAGCCAGAGACUCCCUGAUAUACAUUGCUAUCUGCGGGAUUGUUUCACCGCUUGUCAUUGACAUAUUUUUGUACCUUUCCACAAGAACCUCAGGUAACUGUCCCGCAACCUCAAAUAAAUUCUGCUCCUCUCUACUAGCAUGAAGAAACGAACAAUCUUUACGUGUACAUCCGUGAUUUUGAAAAUCGUGGCAAAAUAUUAAAGUCUUUUUCAUAUCCUCCAAAACCAACUCGUGGCGGAAUUUACAUGCGGGUCCUUUACUACAGCAGCCCCACAAGAAGUCUCUACAAAUAUCUUUUUUAUUAUUAAUUUUGCUCACUUCACUUUUUUGCGACGACAUCGAUAUUUAUUUACACAAUACAAAUCACCAUUAUAUAUAUCUGGAACAAAGAGGGUAAUUUAUAAUAAUUCUAAUGUAUUAAUUUAAUAUUUAAAAUCAAUCCUAUUUAUUGUUAUUUCGCCGAUAGAUGCUAACACUCCCAUCUUGUUUACACCUAUCACCAAAAAACAUUCCAUUGUGAGUUAACCUUAUCACUCCACUCUCUCGUAUUCACAAAAAUAUUAAUGUUAGACAUUACAAGCUACGUCUUAUAUUUUCACAAUUUAUCAUUUUAUAGACAGUGCAACCAAGUUGAUUAUUUAAUUAAAAAUACCUAAAUCAGGAUAUAAGUUUCCCGACUCCCUUCCACCCGCCUUCAUAGGUACUUAAGUAUAAAGCGAGCGUAAACCAAGCGUAAACUAAACCGAAAUUCCAAAGGACCGAAACCGUAAGCAUCACGGUCGGCGGGAUAGGCAAGAGUUAUAGACCAUACAGCCUCAUCAAUUACAUACAAGUGCUUUACCAUGCAAUUUACAUAUAACAAAGAAACCACAAUUAAAGUUUAAUCAAAAUGUAACUGAAUUUAAAGACGAUAUAAUAAAGAAAAGAAAUAUAUUGUAAAUAAAACAUUGAAAAGUAUUGAAAAAAUUAAACAAUUGCUUCAUGUAAACUGUAAAUUUAUAAAUUCAUAAAAAAUGUAAAAGAAUUAGAAUAAUUAUUGAAAAUAAUUAAAAUAACAUAAUUUUUCACGAAGCUUAUAAAUUAUUUAAUAUUUUACAGUAAACAGUUAUAUUUCAUAAAUAUUACGCAGCUUUACAAUCCUCAUAUACGUUGCUUAAGCCGAAUAUUAUUCUAUCUCCAUCUCGGGAGCUUAUUAAUUUGUUGUACUCAAACUAGUAGUUAUACUAUUUACAGUUUACAAGUCUAUACAAUCCAUGCAUUUUAAAUAGUGACAUAGAGACCUCACCACAAAACCAGCUAUAUAUCCAAGUAGUUGCUUUAUAUAUUCAUAAGCUUUGUUAUUCAGUAAUUCAAAAUUUGGUGAGUCAGAAAAAUAGAGUAAGUUAUCUAUAAUAUAAACCAUCACUUUCAUUUGCAUCAUCAGUCUGUCUGUCCUAACGUAUUCUAGUGUUUCGUGUUCGUGUUCGUUAGCACACAGUUUAAUGAUUUCAACGAUUUUAGUUCCAUGUGGCACAACAAUUUCCGAAAGAUGCCUUUUUAGUUGUUUGACAUUAGGGCUAUCAUUAUACCAUCUUGGAUUUCAAAAAUGAUCCCAAAUUCGUUCUCUGCACCCUCGAGAACCUCAGAUAGGAUAUCCAUAUUGUAGUAAUCAUAAUUUUGCAUGGCGGCCAAAAUAAUAGUGUAAUCAUUAUAACCUGGCAACGGCGCCACUAUUGUCUCGGUUUUUCGUUUCAUCAAAUUUCAAGUCGCAACGAUUUGAAAGAAUUUUCACUACCAAAAAAUUGAGAAUGCUCAGCUUUAUAAUAAUAUAGUAAGCUCUGUCACAGCAAACUAUAGUUUAGAGUUCAAAUAUUUAUAAUGGGUAUUGAGAGUGUGCGAAAUAGCUAAAAAAAUGUUAUAACACUACGGUGUCAUCCCACUGGAUAGAAGGAAUGUGUUAGAUCUUUUGUUAAAACACAAUAUUUUAACGGUUAAAUAAAUUCUCCAUUCUUACUAUCAAAUUUUCAUAUAAAUGUUCAAAGCUGAUAAGAAAACAAUGCCUAUUCUAUGUUUAGUGGUAAGGACUACAGUACCAGAACUAAUGUGUGCCGAAACGUGGCAAUUUCCAAGCUCAGUAGCUCAUAAAACUCACUGAACAAAUCUCAGGAUUCUUCAGUUAAAGUAUGGGGAAUCCAUCUGGUGCAAAGCUUCCUGACGCCUAAAUGUUCGUGUAAUAUUUUUUGAACUUGACUCAUACCAAUGCCUAGGCUUGCCCGUAUCUGCUGAUAGGUCACUCUCUUAUCUUCCUCUAUCAUGCGUCGCACAGCACUGAUGUUAUCUUCAGUAGUCGCUGUUAAAGGACGUCCUUCACGCGGAUCAUCAUUGAGAUUACUGGCAAGAGAUGUGGCUUCAUUAAGAAAUGCUAAUCGUAGCCUAUCAUAGCUUUGUUGUUGAGUAAGCCCACAACGAAAGUCAUAAUAAAUCAGUUAGGUUCAUUUUCACGUGUAACAAGAGUUUAAGAUUUGCCGCCAAUUCACAAAAACAAAUGAAUGCAAUACCACAUUAGGUUACCAAAGAGUUCUAAAAUUGAAAUCCAAAAAAUGUUUUCAUUAGCAAUGUUUCUAACUGGCCAGUUCUAAACAUUUUCACUGUUACCCACGUAUACAAAUGGCUGCGAAGGAACGUACAAUACUCUCAAGUAUUUUUACAUUUUGAAUUAAUUUUUUUCAUACAAAUGAUUUAAGUUUUAAGAGUAUGGGAAGUCUGGAAGUAUGGAAGUCUCGUGCCAGAUUUUGGCGAGGCAACACGUCCUGAGGAUGCCUCGUGUAGAGGCGAAACACGCGUCAAAUUGUUUUUAAAAACAAAUAUUGGCGGAAUUAACACUAAAGAAAACUUAAAUCAUUUGUAAUUAUGGAUUUCCGCAAAGUAACGCCUAAUUCAAUAAAUUUUCUUAAUUUUUUUCGUUUUCCGUGUUAUUUAUACUUCAAGAGUCGACGUAAUAAAGUACACAUUUUUUUUUCGUAAAUAGUUUCCCAGUAUCUAUAUUCUCCACUAGGUUGUCAUCACUAGUUUUAGUACUGCAGACUCUCGCUACAUGGCCAACAGCGCCAAAAGAGCGAAUAUCAAACAGGCACAAAGGCCGCCAGUCCAGUAGUUUUAAAGUAGAGGUCAGUGAUAACUAGUACAGUAUAGUAUAGUAAAGGUACUCUGUGCAAUUGAAAAAUGGCCACCAACGUAUGUACUUGUGUUAUGUGUUUCUUCUGGAAGAACGUUAAAAGACUGUGUGUUUUAUUGUUUGUGCUUUACACUUUUAUCUGUUGAGUUCGUUUGUUCACUCACACACAAUAUAAUUAUCACACAGUGAUUCUUUUGUUAUUGUUUGUGACAAUGUGAUUUGUUAGUGUGUUUGAAAUAUUUAGGAGUCUUAUAAUGAUUAUGAGCAACGACGUUCUAUACGUUACCUCAGAACUUUCGACUGAGUAAACCGAUUUUGAUAAUUCUUUUUUAAUCGUUUCAAAACAGGAGGAAGCUCUCAAUUCAUCGGUAUGUUUUUUUGUGAUUGGUACCUCAGAACUUUCGACUGGGUGAGCCGAUUUUGACAAUUCUUUAUUUAUUUGAAAGCUGGUGCUUCUCGUGUAGCCUCAUUGCAAUUUGGUUCAGAACUGAUAAUGGCAACCAUGAGAAAACCAUAAAAGUCUUACAUUUGCUAUAAGUAUGUACGCGACAAAUUUACGAAUAACUCAAUAUUGCGGCAACCGAUUUCGAUAAUUAUUUUUUUAUUGGAAGGAAUAUACUUCAAAGGUAGUUUAAUGAGAAUUUGGUUGGGUUCUGAUUAUGGGAUCUAUUACAAAACGGAAAUCACCAAUUCUUAGGAGCAAAUUAACGAUACUAGGCCGAAUAUUUUAUAUGCUAUCCGGAUAUUUGAGUCACCUACCAUCACAUCGUUAUAACCAAGUAAUUGUCGUAGUUUAAUAUAUAUGGAAUCAAUGGAACUCCCAAUUUACGCCCUUUUGCGCAAACGCGUUAAAUUGCUACUCUCCGAUUGCUAUAAUAAGUAUAUUGAAAAUGUCGAAUCAUCCUUAAAAAAUAACAUUAAAUUCUUUUGGAAAUAUACAUCUAACCUUAAAGAAACGAAUUCCGGAUAUCCCCACACAAUGAUACUAGAAAAUGACUCUUCGGAUAAUCCUACCACUAUAUCAGAGAUGUUUUCAAAAUACUUUCAAUCGGUUUUUGAACCAGUAUCACCCGAGGCUUAUAACAUUAAUCAACUUGUAAACGAUGUUACAUCUGAUAGCCCAGUGUAUCUAAACAGUAUUUACCUUACCAAAUCUGAGAUAUGUAAAACUUUAAAAAAUCUGGAUCCCAAUAAAGGCCCCGGUCUAGAUCAAAUAAGUCCACUAUUCUUAAAGCAAACAUUUUUAACUAUUUCAGUCCCAUUGGAAAUCAUCUUUAACAAAUGUCUGGAAGCUGGUGUAUUCCCGAUGCAAUGGAAGCAUGCUUACAUAACACCUAUAUUUAAAUCGGGUUCUAAGAGUAAUGUUGAGAACUAUCGACCCAUAUCCAUUCUCUCAGUAAUUCCAAGGGUCUUUGAAAAACUGGUGCACAAUCAUGUUUAUUCAACCUGUAAGCAUUUCAUCAUUGACGAACAGCAUGGUUUUGUAAAAGGAAGAUCAACUUUGUCGAAUUUACUCACUUUUACAAACUAUACUUUUAAUGCCUUGGAUCAAAAAAGACAGAUUGAAACUCUCUACACAGACUUCAAGAAGGCGUUCGACAAGGUGGACCAUCUGAUACUCUUGAAAAAACUUUCCUACAACGGCAUCAAAGGCAAUCUAUUGCUUUGGUUCAGGUAGUAUUUACAAAAUCGUGUUCAGUCUGUUGUUAUUAAUGGGCAUGUCUCUGCCCCUGUCAUAGCCUCUUCGGGCGUCCCUCAAGGAUCUAUCCUAGGACCAUUACUAUUUGUACUCUUCAUAAAUGAUAUCUCAUCUUGUUUCAAACAUUGCAAUUUCCUUUUAUAUGCGGAUGACUUAAAGAUAAACUCCUGUGUUCGUGAUCAAAAUGAUUUAAAAUUAAUACAGUCUGAUUUAAUGAGAUUUGAAGAAUAUUGUAAAAUUAAUAAACUAUUUUUGGCCUUUAGCAAAUGUAUUCAUAUGACAUUCACAAGAAAUUUAAAUAUAUUAACUACGAGUUUUCAACUAGGUGGCUACAUUCUUAACUCAGAAAAAACCGUUAGAGACCUUGGUGUGUAUCUAGAUACAAAACUUACUCUUGAUGUGCAUGUAGAAAAUGUACUUAAUAAAGCUUACCGAAUGCUAGGUUUCAUAACAAGAAAUACUAAACACUUUAAGCGGAAAGACACAUUUACCUGCCUCUUUAAUAGUCUACUUAGAUCUCAUCUAGAAUAUGUGUCACCAAUCUGGAAUCCGUUUUAUGCAAUCUACAUUCAAAAAUUAGAAAUUAUUCAAAAAAAAUUUUUAAGAACCCUUAAUUACCGUAUGCGUUGUUAUUUACGCUGCUCGUACAAUGAACUGUUAGUUAAACACAAUACCCUAUCCUUGAGUAACCGUAGACGGUUAAUUGACGCAGUGACGCUGUAUAAAAUUUGUAAUGGCGAGAUAAAGUCAUCCCAAUUGUUAUCUGAGAUUAAUUUCCGUGUACCAUCUAUAGCCACUAGAUCACAAAACUUAUUUCACCUCUCUAAAACUAGGACUAAUAUUGGUAAACGUGCGCCACUUCACAGAAUAUGUACACUACAUAAUCUCACGUUGAAUAACAUUGAUAUGUUUUCGUGCUCCCUUUUUACCUAUAAAACUAAUCUUAAAAAAUAUUCAGUUCUAAUCAAACUUAAAUCUUAUUAUUUCUGUUUUCUACAUUCUAGUUUUACAAUUAUAUAGCUUACUUUUACCAAGUUUUACUUACCUUUGCUACGAUUAACUUGUAUUGUAAAUUGUACGUGCACGCUUGCACCUAAGCAGAUGUCGCUUUUAUCUUUAACAUCUAUAUUCUCAGUGAGACGUUCCAAGGGAAUAAUUGUAAUUAUUUUAGUUAGUUAUAAUUUGUAUAUGUAUUUAAUCUUUUGUUUCUGUUUUUGUCUCCAAUAAAGUAAAUAAAAAAUAAUAAAAACUCCUUAACUAUUACAGUAAGGGUCUGUGGCAGAAUUUCUAACUGUCGGUUAUAAAAUUAUUGCAAUGCGCUUACGUUCAUUGCUGCAUUGCAAAAUUUAGUAGAUCUACACAAAUUUAAAUAAAUUAUUAGUAAGUCUAGUUCAGAUUCACUAAAAAUCUAAAAAUAAAAAAAAAUAUCAAAAAUCAACCGACUUCGAAAACACUAUUCCAAAACAAUAGAUAUAAUAUGCACUUAAAGUUAUGAAAACAAUUGCACUGCUUACAAGAACCGUUCUACUAAUACUAGUGCUAUUUACACGUUAUCACGGAAGUAUCGUUAUAAUAAUAAUAAUAAAGCUUUAUUUAUUCCGAAUCACUUGUUAUAUUUUGUUUUUAUAUACUUAAAUAAGAUUUUAAGCUUAAAUUAAAACAGUUAAUUCUAAAGUAAACUAAGUUAGUAAAAUUAAGUAAAUUAAAAUUAAUGCUACUUAUUGGUUUAAUUCGGAUCCUUUUCGGGUAAAAGCCUCCUCCAUAUUUUUCCAUUGUUCUCUAUCCUGUCCAGUUUUCAUCCAUUCCUUUCCCGCUAUCUCUUAUACGUCGUCGACCCACCGUUUCUUGGGUCUUUCGACUUGUCUUUUUCCUAUCGGCCCUUGCCAUUUUGUUAUCUUCAGUGUCCAUCUUUUGUCUUUUACUCUACAGAUAUGUCCAGCCCACUGUCAUUUUUGCUUUAAAGCAUAUUCAAGAGCAUCUGAAAGCUUGGUUUUCUUUCGUAUAAUUUCGCUUUUAAUUUUUUUUUAUUUUCCUUAGCUUUAGGAUGCUUCGUUCCAUUGCUCUUUGUGUUGUUGUAAUUUUUUUUUAUUUGUGUAAACCCAUGUUUGAUUUCCGUAUGUUAGGCUUGGCAGAAGGCAUGUAUCCAUCACAAUCUUUUUUGUGCCAAGCUGUAAUCUCCUUUGAGAAUUUCUUUUUGUGCCCAAAAUUUUUCCAUGUCAUGUUCACUCUUCGGUCUACCUCUUCUUCAUUGCUAUUUCUGCUGAAAGAGACCUGGAAGUAUCAUUACCUAGUGAUAAUUGAUAUUUGAUACUUAUUUACAUCGCAAAUAUGUAAAAUCUUAUAUACUUGCCCAAGAUAAUGAAAGAUAAUUGGCGCCAGUUGGUAAAAAGAGAGAUAUGUGACGAAAUUUACAAACCAAAUAAGCAUUUAUUUUAUAUUUCAUCACUAAAGGAUUUAAGAUUUUUGGAUUUAACCACAUUUAAAAUUUGACAAAAGCUGUCAUACAAAUAUAUAUUGAUGUCAUACUACAUAUACCAAAAAGAUACCCUGGAAAAGAUAUCCGAGUAUAAAAGACAAAUUUUAUUUAAUUCAAGGAACUUAAUAUUUAAGUAACCAGCUUAACUAAAUAUUUUAUGUGAAUAAAUUUUUUAUGUGUUAGUAUGUAUUAAAUCCGAAUCCCUUUAGAACGUAAAGAAGUAACAAAUAUAAACAAAAGCCAAUUAUUAAACAUACAAACUUUUUCCUUUAUAAUAUGAAUGUGAUUUUUGAUUAAAAACGUAAAAAAACCCAACUAAUCAGAUAUUGAUCGGAAAAUAGGGACAGACUGACGGACGUAAAACUCAUAGCAACGCUCUUUUUAGUCUGACUUUAAAAGGAUACCUUACUUCUACUCCACUUAUGUCACUGUCCAUAUCGGUUUCUAAAUUCAAAAACGCAGCUGAAACUGAAAUAGUGUUUACAUUGCUGCCUAUUGACCAUUAAAAUUUUAAAAAUUGGAGUAAACGCAGAAAUGUAUAGACAUAGCAGUCGAAGUUUAUAAGGCUGGGCGCAAACGUUCGGAAACCGGAUUAGGUUUCCUGAUCAGGAAUUCAGAUUCGGAAUUCCGUGAGACUAGCUGAUUGAUUACUAUUACACUUUUACUGGCGUUAAACAAGAAGAAGAGGAAUGGUCAUUACUGGGUACACCCGUUGAAUACUCGGAGUUUCACAGGCGUCUCUAUUCGUACUGGUCGUAAAAAAACCGAACAAAAAAAUCGGACGUUUGCGCUAGUCUCGAUCGAUUAGUCGAUUUUGAUUUUGUAUGGGGUGCAUUGUCUAUAUGUAUAGAACGUCAUUGAUUAUGAGGAUCAAUUUAAAGUGGAUGCGAAAAAUAUUAUUACAAUUAAUGUUAUAAAAGGAAAAAUAAAUUACUUGUAAAUUA